CUUGUUAUUACAUACUGCACACCUAAAGAAAAAUAUCCCAGCGCUCAAAGCUUGAUACUGCAAGCAUUCCCGAUGAAACCAAGUAUUUUUACAACAAGGACUUCUCAACACACUGUACAGUGGGAGAUGUUCAACCAAAUCCAGGCAUAUUGUACACUGUGAAGGUUCUCUAGAUUCUUUAUCCGAAAAGAUUUGAACUGGCUUAUGUUCCCAACAGUAAGAUCGGAAGUCUUCCAUGAACUGGAAAACACAUUCCUUUUGCAGCCCACAAGGAAAAUGGUAACUUCGCUUACAUUUGGGAGCCACACAUCCAAUUGAAGCACCCUUUUUCCUACAGAUAUUACACAUCAGUCUUGCAGCUCUGUUAACUUCUUUCCUAAUAUCUUCGAUCAAAAAUCCAUCUACACCUUCAUUUUCUUCCCCCCUCUGCCAAAUGCCACUUGACAUCAACAAACAGUAAUUAUGAAGAGUGAGAUUAUAUUCUACGUAGGUCCUUUUUUCUCCAUACUUUUCAGGGCAGUUAUCUGUCCAUCCACAGAGAACACAAGGUGGGCUUUGAAUGUCAAAAUUAUUCUCACUCAUUCUAGUGAAUUCUUCAAGCCCGAGGGCAGCGCGGCCAACGACGAGGUCCAGCGGCGACCCCGCGCUGAAACCGCCCGCUCUAACUGACGGACAAUUCAAACCCCAACAUCCGCCGGCAUUCCGGAAGUCGGGAACCCGCCCCUCGCACCGCCCACCAUCCAUUCCACCGGCUUUCGGCCACCUUCGCUGCGUCGGCGGGAGGAGACUCGAGAUCUCGGCAAUCGGCUGGGACUGUCUCAGGAGGGCUGGCGGCGGAGCCCUGCGCUUCGCCUUCUCUCGGGGGGCGUUCGCGGCCGGCACCGCGGGUGCUUGGCGUCUUUCUCAGUGCGUCCCUGCGUUUGUGGGUCUGGCUGGGGUGAUAGGGGCUGUGGGGUGUUGGGCUUCUGGAGAGGUCUGAGAAUCGCCCUGGUUGUCGGGACCGAGCACCAUUUUAGUGUCACGGAGCUGGUUUGGCUUCUGAGGACUGAGGGAGAAGGGGUACUGCCACCUGAAACCACUCGGCCUGUUCUCAUCACUGAGCUUUAUAUUCGUUUUUUUUUUUUUAAUUUUUAAAUUUUCUUUUCCUGUCCUGGCUAAGUGCAGGAUCGCUACAGACUGUUUACAUUCAGGCCUUGCAGACUCUGUUGGAACAGGCAGUGUUGUCCAGAAAGCCUAUUCUAGAGUAGAUUCACGGAAUCAUGGAAUCGUUUGAGUUGAAUCUCAGUCAUCUAGUCCAACUGCCCUGCAAUGAACAGGGACACCUAUAGCUCCAUCAGGCUGCUCAGAGUCCCCUCCAUCCUGACCCUGAGUGUCUCCAUGGACAGGGCGUCCACCACCUCUGUGAAAGCUGUUCCAGCACCUCACCACCCCUAUUGUAAACAUGUCUGUCUUAUAUCCAGUCUAAAUUUCCUCUCUUUCACUUUGACACCAUUUCCCCUGGGUCCUGUUACAACAGACACUGCUAAAAAGGCUGUCCCUAUUAUUUUUACAUUGUUCAGUCUUACUUAAGGAAGCAGGUUUUGUUUGUUUGUUUUUCCCUGAGAAAUGCACUCUAAGAAGAAAAUACUCUUCAAAUGUAUCCUACUUGUAAAGCUGGAGUGCUGAUCUGUUUUUCCUAUACUUGAUGGGAAGCUCGCAUAGACAUAUUUAUGAUAGUAAAAUUUUUCAAAUAAAGUUUUGUAUUUAAUUUUUACAUAAAUUCUUUGUUGUUUGAAUAUUUCUAUCAUGGAACAGAUGCACGCACUGUUGACCACAGUGAACACAUCAACUGUUAGCACAUAUAGUACAGGAAACAGUGACUUUACAGGCGGUGCAAACAUACACACUGCAGCUGCACACAUGUGACCAAUAGAUGUGGCCUGGUCCUAUUCUUAAACAGUGGCUUAUUAGACUUAAAGCAGCUAGCAGAUGGCCCACCUCAUCCCACCAUCCAAAACAGUCUCCCCAAGUUCAUAUUCUCUCUGGUAACUUACCUGUCAAACCUGGAGUGUUUGCAGUACUUGGCCCUCACCCCUAAGCUCUCCCCACUCGCCAGGUCCCCUAUCCUCUUCACCAGCUUCCCUGGCUUGAAGUUUGCUAGCCACACACACAAAUUAAGAACUUACUCAAGGACAUGGGUAAGGAGUAGAGCUUAAUAAGAGAGACUGAAGCGAUUGGGCAGAGAACUUGGCAAGAUGGCUGCUGACCAGCCACUUCUUUUCACACAGUUGGUCCCUGUUGUCCCACUUCCUCUUAGUUAUCCUCAAUGUACCUACAUCAUACCCUUUCCUUAGCUUUG
rnacentral:lncRNA from 1 species